GGCUUGAGCGCCGAGGAAGGCCGUGGCUAGCUGCGAAAUGCAAGGGGUAGCUGCAAGCACGCUUAGAUCCCUUGAUAGCCGAAUAGGAACUCCUAAUGCAGACCAAUAAGCUGCAUAACUCCGAAAGGAGAGGGAACGCACCGGACGGAAACAUCCAAGUAGGUGCAGGAAAAGAAAUCAACUGAGAUGCCUUGAUGUAACGGCGAGUGAAAGAGGCAAAGACCAAACUGAAUCCUGAUUAGCGAUAAUUAGGAGAUGUGGUGUUAUGGACUCUUAUUAAAUGCUGCAUUUAAUAGCUGAAUUUCCUGGAAAGUUAAGCGAUACAAGGUGAUAGCCCUGUAAGCGAAAUUAAGUCCAGCAGGAAAGAGUAUCCAGAAUAGCGGGGGUUGGAAAUCCCUCGUGAAUGGGGCACAACGAGCUCCAAGUCUAAAUACGACUCAAGACCGAUAGCGCAAUAGUAACGUGAGUGAAAGCUGAAAAGUAACCCGGAAGGGUAGUGAAAAGUGCCUGAAACCAGAUGGUUAUAGACGUUUGUAGCCCGAAAGCGUAGAGUCUGGACGAAGUGAGAGCUGGUGACGGCAGGAACGAGUUCAGAGGAGCGGGGUUACAAAAUCCGUCUAGAAACACGGGCCAGGGAGUUCAUGCUUGUGGCGAGCUUAAGGGUUUUUUAGACCCGGAGGCGAAGCGAAAGCGACAAGUUCGCAGUUUACAAGGAACGGCGUCUGAAAGGGCGUGGAGUCACAGGCAUGAGACCCGAAACCGGACGAUCUACCCCUGAGCAGGCUGAAGCCUAGGGAAACCUGGGUGGAGGGCCGAACAAGUAUUGACGUGCAAUUCAUGUUUGUUGACUUGGGGGUAGGGGCAAAAGACCAAUCUAGUCCGGUGAUAGCUGGUUCCUACCGAAGUGGACAUAGGCCAGCCUGAUUUGAGGUGGCAUGUUUGGUAGAGCAAGGAUUUAUGGUUUUGGGGAGUAAAAUCCUCACCCAUGAGUCAAACUACGAACAGACAUGUACCGUAGAAGAUCAGAGUCGGGCGUGCGUCCGUAAGGGACGUGGCCGAAAGGGGAAUAACCCAGACUAUGGUUAAGGACCCCAAAUCUCGGUUAAAUGCUAAAAGAGGAAGGACGUCCUUGCACUAAGACAGUAAGGCGGUAGGCUUAGAAACAGCCACCCGCUAAGCAACACGUAACAGUGGACUUACCGAGUGCUUGGGCUCCGAGAAUGGACGGGGCUAAACCGAGUUCCGAGACCAUAGGGCACAUUGA
rnacentral:rRNA from 1 species